AUUGAACGCUGGCGGCAGGCCUAACACAUGCAAGUCGAGCGGAGCGGCGGACGGGUGAGUAAUGCCUAGGAAUCUGCCUGGUAGUGGGGGAUAACGUCCGGAAACGGGCGCUAAUACCGCAUACUAUCAGAUGAGCCUAGGUCGGAUUAGCUAGUUGGAGGGGUAAAGGCCUACCAAGGCGACGAUCCGUAACUGGUCUGAGAGGAUGAUCAGUCAUAUUGUAGCUGAGACCCGGUCCAUACUCCGACGGGAGGCAGCAGUGGGUAAUAUGGGACAAUGGGCGAAGGCCGGAUCCGCCCAUGCCGCGUGUGUGAAGAAGGUCUUGGGAUUGUAAGGCCCUUUAAGUGUGGAAGCGUUACCACCCGAAUAAGCCC
rnacentral:rRNA from 1 species